GCCAAAGUGGCGGAAUGGCAGACGCGCUGGACUCAAAAUCCUGUGUCCUUAACGGACGUGUGGGUUCGACUCCCACCUUUGGUA
rnacentral:tRNA from 1 species